UGGCGGACGGGGGAGUAAUGUCUGGGAAACGUGCCCGAUGGAGGGGGGUAACUACUGGAAACGGUAGCCAAUACCGCAUAACGUCGCAAGACCAAAGAGGGGGACCUUCGGGCCUCUUGCCAUCGGAUGUGCCCAGAUGGGAUUAGCUAGUAGGUGGGGUAAAGGCUCACCUAGGCGACGAUCCCUAGCUGGUCUGAGAGGAUGACCAGCCACACUGGAACUGAGACACGGUCCAG
rnacentral:rRNA from 1 species